rnacentral:rRNA from 1 species
UUCCGUAGGUGACCUGCGGAAGGAUCAUUACUAGAACAGCACCAAUUGACGAGACAUGAGCGGGCGUGGGGUAGCCCGACUCAAAUGAGCCCCCGGGACCGGGAGGGGCCUCCGACCCAAGGGAGAGAGGUUGAAGCGCUCGCGUAGGCUAACUCCCUGCGCGAAGGGCGCUCCCCGCCCGCCCCUCCACCGCCGGGUGGCCCGUCUCGAUAGCCCACUCUCUGCGUACACCUCCCUGUUGCUUCCCCGGCGAUAUUCUCUCCGGGGGAGGUCCCCGAGCAAAACGCGCCGCCCAACCCACCGGCGGCCCCUCCGUCUGAUGGCCAGCGCGCCAAGGAAGUAGGAACGAGCGAAGAAGCGAAAAAACUUUCAACAACGGAUCUCUUGGUUCCCGCAUCGAUGAAGAACGCAGCGAAAUGCGAUAAGUAAUGUGAAUUGCAGAAUUCAGUGAAUCAUCGAAUCUUUGAACGCACAUUGCGCCCCCUGGCAUUCCGGGGGGCAUGCCUGUUCGAGCGUCUCCGGGACGAACCCUCGCGCGUGUGGAAGCGUGGUCUUGGCGGCGGUGGCGUGCCCGACUCGGAGGCGGCCACCUCGCUGGAAUACAUGGGCGGACGCCUGCCGCGUGGCCGAGCGUGAUAUGACGCAUUGGCGCUCGUGCGCGGCGAGGCUGCCGGCCCUUGCCCGUCCGUCGGGCGGGGGAGAGCAAGACAUUGGAACUCCUCGAAUCAGGUAGGGAUACCCGCUGAACUUAAGCU